GGUUGUAACCUAUCGCUUGUACGUAGUACAAUCUCUGGUCACAAUGCUUCGCAUCAUCCUGUCAAACUGAACCGUAGGGACAAGUUAGGAUAUUGUAAUCAACCAUUACACUUAAACAACAUACAAAACAUGGUAUCCCUAUUCCUAAAACGGUUAGCACGACUCACACCUCUUUGAGCAAUUUUCGAAAUACGCAAGAACAAAGACUUAAAAUUAAUAAAAGGGACUUCGUCAUUUUGAAUCGUCCUCAUUUGCCGCUACCGACCAGAGUCCGUUACACAUACUCUGGUCAAACGAACAAAUUGUGAACGUUUUGUAAUUUAAAGUGCUGUGAAUAUCUGUUAUUUGUACCCAGCAUUCCUGUAGCCGGCGAAAUGUGUCAGGGAGUUGGUCCCAACCCGCACCAUCCAAACUAACCGUCAAGGACCGCGCUCUUCGCUAAAAGUGGUCGUUUGGUUGGUGGUGCAAGGAGGUAACAAAAAUGUGAACCUCCAAGUUGGCAGAGCGCGCCAACCCGAGAAUCUGUUAGAGCGCAAUGGCGGAGGCCAUCCGGUUUUUUUUUCUACCAAAGACAAAGACACAAAACCAAAGACACCAAAACCGUUGCUGCGCCAGGCCUGGCCGGAGGAAGAUCCUCCGACUUGACUCGACCACCGCGGGAUACACUAGAACACACGAACACACACACACAUGGUUAGGUUAGUUUUAAAACGACGAAAAACAAUAAAUUAGGACAGUUAAAUGCAAUAAACAUGA